rnacentral:sRNA from 1 species
UUUAACCUAAACAAUAUAAGCCCUACCUCUCUUAUAUUCUUACGACUCCGAAGUCGAUCCAGUGUGAAUAAGUCUUGCUAUUUGUAU